rnacentral:tRNA from 1 species
GGGGUCGUAGGGUAGCUUGGUCCAUCCUCGCGGCUUCGGGAGCCGUGGACCCCGGUUCAAAUCCGGGCGACCCCA